CUGCUAUUGAAUUUGGUUUAUUGUUUAGAGGAGUUUUCGAAAGUUCACGUUAUUGUGUGCUGACUAUAGUAUUACGUAUGACAAUUUUCAUUGAGAAUACAUCAGUGAUGAAAUAACUCAACACCAGUCAAGUUUUCGAUGACACAGCGAAUAACGUCUUCGACUUGGAAAAUGAACUUGAAGUGGAUCACUGAUGACUAGAGUCCAUGCAGCCGCCUCUGUGAAUUUGGCUACCAUGAGUUACUGUAUAGUGGUGUGCACAGAGAAGAACAAUGGCAUCAAGAUAAUGGUACAGGAGCCCUGCGUGAUUGAAAAGUGUAAAAGAUGUCAAAUAGAGGAGUAGACUAAACUUUGCAGAUUCGUCAAAGACAGCGAAUGGUCAUGCAGCGUAACUUGCGGUGAGGACGUACGUUAGACUUUCCUUGUGAGGGUAUGUAAAGUUUAAAAUCUAUGUGGAUAAUCCCGCUUCUAUUUGAAUCUUAGAGCAGAAGAUCACGCAAGUCAUUCGCCAGUCAAAAUGAUCGAACGAGUCAUUUAAAAUUGGACUCAAUGGAGAGGCCAUCUGAGACGUAGCCGCGG